AGAGUUUGAUCCUGGCUCAGAACGAACGCUGGCGGCAGGCUUAACACAUGCAAGUCGAACGCACCUUCGGGUGAGUGGCAGACGGGUGAGUAACGCGUGGGAACGUGCCCUUCAGUUCGGAAUAACCCAGGGAAACUUGGGCUAAUACCGGAUACGUGCGAGAGCAGAAAGAUUUAUCGCUGAAGGAUCGGCCCGCGUCUGAUUAGCUAGUUGGUGGGGUAAUGGCCCACCAAGGCGACGAUCAGUAGCUGGUCUGAGAGGAUGAUCAGCCACAUUGGGACUGAGACACGGCCCAAACUCCUACGGGAGGCAGCAGUGGGGAAUAUUGGACAAUGGGCGCAAGCCUGAUCCAGCCAUGCCGCGUGAGUGAUGAAGGCCUUAGGGUUGUAAAGCUCUUUCGGCGGGGACGAUAAUGACGGUACCCGCAGAAGAAGCCCCGGCUACUUCGUGCCAGCAGCCGCGGUAAUACGAAGGGGGCUAGCGUUGUUCGGAAUCACUGGGCGUAAAGGGCGCGUAGGCGGCUUGAUAAGUCGGGGGUGAANNCCUGUGGCUCAACCACAGAAUUGCCUUCGAUACUGUCUGGCUUGAGACCGGAAGAGGUAAGUGGAACUGCGAGUGUAGAGGUGAAAUUCGUAGAUAUUCGCAAGAACACCAGUGGCGAAGGCGGCUUACUGGUCCGGUUCGNNNNUGAGCGCGAAAGCGUGGGGAGCAAACAGGAUUAGAUACCCUAGUAGUCC
rnacentral:rRNA from 1 species